rnacentral:rRNA from 1 species
UAACGCGUGGGUAACCUGCCUCAUACAGGGGGAUAACAGUUAGAAAUGACUGCUAAUACCGCAUAAGACCACAGCACCGCAUGGUGCGGGGGUAAAAACUCCGGUGGUAUGAGAUGGACCCGCGUCUGAUUAGCUAGUUGGUAAGGUAACGGCUUACCAAGGCGACGAUCAGUAGCCGACCUGAGAGGGUGACCGGCCACAUUGGGACUGAGACACGGCCCAAACUCCUACGGGAGGCAGCAGUGGGGAAUAUUGCACAAUGGGGGAAACCCUGAUGCAGCGACGCCGCGUGAGCGAAGAAGUAUUUCGGUAUGUAAAGCUCUAUCAGCAGGGAAGAAAAUGACGGUACCUGACUAAGAAGCACCGGCUAAAUACGUGCCAGCAGCCGCGGUAAUACGUAUGGUGCAAGCGUUAUCCGGAUUUACUGGGUGUAAAGGGAGCGUAGACGGAUGGGCAAGUCUGAUGUGAAAACCCGGGGCUCAACCCCGGGACUGCAUUGGAAACUGUUCAUCUAGAGUGCUGGAGAGGUAAGUGGAAUUCCUAGUGUAGCGGUGAAAUGCGUAGAUAUUAGGAGGAACACCAGUGGCGAAGGCGGCUUACUGGACAGUAACUGACGUUGAGGCUCGAAAGCGUGGGGAGCAAACAGGAUUAGAUACCCUGGUAGUCCACGCCGUAAACGAUGACUACUAGGUGU